GCCAUGCUUAUGGAACAUAUGUGCUAAACUUGAAAAAGUUGGUCCAACCUCUAUAUUUUACACUGGAAGGGAAUGAGGGGCUUCAUGUGGGAAAGAGAUUUGUCUAAUGUCAGAUUGAUAAUCAUAGUUGGAUGUGGGAAGAGAAACACUGCCUUCAGAUUCAGAACUAUCUGUAGUGUGCACAAGUGAUCCAGAGUCCUUCCCCAAUCCAGGUCUUUCCAUAUUGAAAGUUCUCUAAAAUCCACUGACAUCUAUGCUUUACCUUUGAAUACCCCUAUUGAACACAGGAGAUAUGAGUAUCUUCUCUCACCUCACCACAACAUGUGGAUGGAGCAGUUAACUCGAAAGGGCUCUAAGGUAGGCAGAACCGGGAUAAGUGAGAAGCAGGAAGGAGACACAGCAAGUAAAAUGGAAAAAGAGGCAGGGCCUGAACUUGGGCCAGGGUGGAAAUCAGCUGGAGAACUGAUUGUUCUUUAUGAGAGGAAGGAAGGCAACUGGAUCACACUUCAGAGGAGGAGAGGAAGAAAACAUACAUGCUACAGAGGCCUCACAGUCCAACCUGAGGCACAUGCGCUGCCUGGAGGCCUGUGCGGCUCAAAGUGGCAGACAGGAAGAAAAACUUUUCACAAACAUCACCGAGAUGGAAAUGCCAAUGUAAUUCACCAUGAAACAUGCUGGGGACAGCACAAACUUACAAAGAGGCUCCUGUCUUGGGAAGAAGACUCUCAGUGGGGAAGAUGGAUUGCAGGCAAGAGUGUGAAGGCAGGGAAGGAUUGAGAGAAAUGGGACCAAGGCAGUGGAGAUGCAGAUGGAUAAGAGGAUGAAUUUAAGACACCAUGUCUGCCUCUGCAAGGUACUCUGUGAGCUUAACUAACAAGUUAAUGGACAAACAAUCCUUUAAGAAUGGAGCCUUACAAAAAUU
rnacentral:lncRNA from 1 species